GACGAACGCUGGCGGCGUGCCUAAUACAUGCAAGUCGAGCGCUUCUUUCCUCCCGAGUGCUUGCACUCAAUUGGAAAGAGGAGUGGCGGACGGGUGAGUAACACGUGGGUAACCUACCCAUCAGAGGGGGAUGACACUUGGAAACAGGUGCUAAUACCGCAUAACAGUUUAUGCCGCAUGGCAUAAGAGUGAAAGGCGCUUUCGGGUGUCGCUGAUGGAUGGACCCGCGGUGCAUUAGCUAGUUGGUAAGGUAACGGCUCACCAAGGCCACGAUGCAUAGCCGACCUGAGAGGGUGAUCGGCCACACUGGGACUGAGACACGGCCCAGACUCCUACGGGAGGCAGCAGUAGGGAAUCUUCGGCAAUGGACGAAAGUCUGACCGAGCAACGCCGCGUGAGUGAAGAAGGUUUUCGGAUCGUAAAACUCUGUUGUUAGAGAAGAACAAGGACGUUAGUAACUGAACGUCCCCUGACGGUAUCUAACCAGAAAGCCACGGCUAACUACGUG
rnacentral:rRNA from 1 species